AUUGAACGCUGGCGGCAUGCCUUACACAUGCAAGUCGAACGGCAGCACGGGUGCUUGCACCUGGUGGCGAGUGGCGAACGGGUGAGUAAUACAUCGGAACAUGUCCUGUAGUGGGGGAUAGCCCGGCGAAAGCCGGAUUAAUACCGCAUACGAUCCACGGAUGAAAGCGGGGGACCUUCGGGCCUCGCGCUAUAGGGUUGGCCGAUGGCUGAUUAGCUAGUUGGUGGGGUAAAGGCCUACCAAGGCGACGAUCAGUAGCUGGUCUGAGAGGACGACCAGCCACACUGGGACUGAGACACGGCCCAGACUCCUACGGGAGGCAGCAGUGGGGAAUUUUGGACAGUGGGCGAAAGCCUGAUCCAGCAAUGCCGCGUGUGUGAAGAAGGCCUUCGGGUUGUAAAGCACUUUUGUCCGGAAAGAAAUCCUUGACUCUAAUACAGUCGGGGGAUGACGGUACCGGAAGAAUAAGCACCGGCUAACUACGUG
rnacentral:rRNA from 1 species